rnacentral:rRNA from 1 species
UACGUAGGGCGCAAGCGUUGUCCGGAAUUAUUGGGCGUAAAGAGCUCGUAGGCGGCUUGUCACGUCGGAUGUGAAAGCCCGAGGCUUAACCUCGGGUCUGCAUUCGAUACGGGCUAGCUAGAGUGUGGUAGGGGAGAUCGGAAUUCCUGGUGUAGCGGUGAAAUGCGCAGAUAUCAGGAGGAACACCGGUGGCGAAGGCGGCGACCUGGGUCGAGACUGACGCUGAGGCGCGAAAGCGUGGGGAGCAAACAGG